rnacentral:misc_RNA from 1 species
GAUGAAGAACGUAGCGAAAUGCGAUACGUAAUGUGAAUUGCAGAAUUCAGUGAAUCAUCGAAUCUUUGAACGCAUAUUGCGCUCUCUGGUAUUCCGGAGAGCAUGCUUGUUUGAGUAUCAGUAAACACCUCAACUCCCUUUUCUUUUUUGAAAUGGGAGCUGGACUUGAGUGAUCCCAACACUUUUCUCACUGGAAAGUGGCGGGUCACUUGAAAUGCAGGUGCAGCUGGACUUUUCUCUGAGCUAUAAGCAUAUCUAUUUAGUCUGCCUAAAAACCAGAUUAUUACCUUUGCUGCAGCUAACAUAAAGGAGAUGAGUUCUUGUGCUGACUGAUGCAGGAUUCACAGAGACAGCUUUGCGGCUGACUUUGUAAACUCGAUCUCAAAUCAAGUAAGACUACCCGCUGAACUUAAGCAUAUCAAUAAGCGGAGGA